rnacentral:misc_RNA from 2 species
AAGUCGUAACAAGGUUUCCGUAGGUGAACCUGCGGAAGGAUCAUUAAAGAGACGUUGCCCUUCGGGGUAUACCUCCCACCCAUUGUUUAUUAUACCUUUGUUGCUUUGGCAGACCCGGCUUCGGCCCACCGGCUCCGGCUGGUCAGUGUCUGCCAGAGGACCUAAAACUCUGUUUGUUAAUAUUGUCUGAGUACUAUAUAAUAGUUAAAACUUUCAACAACGGAUCUCUUGGUUCUG